UCCCGGGUCGUCCAGUAGUUAGGACUCAGUGCUUUCACUGCCAUGGCCCAGGUUCAAUCCCUGGUCAGGGAA
rnacentral:tRNA from 1 species